rnacentral:rRNA from 1 species
GAUGAACGCUGGCGGUAUGCCUAACACAUGCAAGUCGUACGAGAGUUUUUAACUCUAGUGGCGGACGGGUGAGUAACACGUGAGAAUUUGCCUUUAGGAGGGGGAUAACAAUUGGAAACGAAUGCUAAUACCCCAUAUGCUUUUGAGUGAAAUGGAUUUUAUCCGCCUAGAGAGAAGCUCGCGGCUGAUUAGCUUGUUGGUAAGGUAAGAGCUUACCAAGGCGACGAUCAGUAUCUGGUUUGAGAGGACGAUCGGACACACUGGAACUGAGACACGGUCCAGACUCCUACGGGAGGCAGCAGUGGGGAAUUUUGGACAAUGGGGGCAACCCUGAUCCAGCAAUGCCGCGUGAGUGAAGAAGGCCUGGUUGUAAGCUCUUUGUCAGGGAAGAAACAGCAGCUCUAACACAGUCUGCGAAUGACGGUACCUGAAGAUAAGCACCGGCUAACUACGUGCCAGCAGCCG